GACGAACGCUGGCGGCGUGCUUAACACAUGCAAGUCGAACGGAAAGGCCCUGCUUUUGUGGGGUGCUCGAGUGGCGAACGGGUGAGUAACACGUGAGUAACCUGCCCUUGACUUUGGGAUAACUUCAGGAAACUGGGGCUAAUACCGGAUAGGAUCUCCUGCUGCAUGGUGGGGGUUGGAAAGUUUCGGCGGUUGGGGAUGGACUCGCGGCUUAUCAGCUUGUUGGUGGGGUAGUGGCUUACCAAGGCUUUGACGGGUAGCCGGCCUGAGAGGGUGACCGGCGACAUUGGGACUGAGAUACGGCCCAGACUACUACGGGAGGCAGCAGUGGAGAAUAUUGCACAAUGGGCGGAAGCCUGAUGCAGCAACGCCGCGUGCGGGAUGACGGCCUUCGGGUUGUAAACCGCUUUCGCCUGUGACGAAGCGUGAGUGACGGUAAUGGGUAAAGAAGCACCGGCUAACUACGUG
rnacentral:rRNA from 1 species